GGGUUGUGAGGUUAAGCGACUAAGCGUACACGGUGGAUGCCCUGGCAGUCAGAGGCGAUGAAGGACGUGCUAAUCUGCGAUAAGCGUCGGUAAGGUGAUAUGAACCGUUAUAACCGGCGAUUUCCGAAUGGGGAAACCCAGUGUGUUUCGACACACUAUCAUUAACUGAAUCCAUAGGUUAAUGAGGCGAACCGGGGGAACUGAAACAUCUAAGUACCCCGAGGAAAAGAAAUCAACCGAGAUUCCCCCAGUAGCGGCGAGCGAACGGGGAGGAGCCCAGAGCCUGAAUCAGUGUGUGUGUUAGUGGAAGCGUCUGGAAAGGCGCGCGAUACAGGGUGACAGCCCCGUACACAAAAAUGCACAUAUUGUGAGCUCGAUGAGUAGGGCGGGACACGUGGUAUCCUGUCUGAAUAUGGGGGGACCAUCCUCCAAGGCUAAAUACUCCUGACUGACCGAUAGUGAACCAGUACCGUGAGGGAAAGGCGAAAAGAACCCCGGCGAGGGGAGUGAAAAAGAACCUGAAACCGUGUACGUACAAGCAGUGGGAGCCUCUUUUAUGGGGUGACUGCGUACCUUUUGUAUAAUGGGUCAGCGACUUAUAUUCUGUAGCAAGGUUAACCGAAUAGGGGAGCCGAAGGGAAACCGAGUCUUAACUGGGCGUUAAGUUGCAGGGUAUAGACCCGAAACCCGGUGAUCUAGCCAUGGGCAGGUUGAAGGUUGGGUAACACUAACUGGAGGACCGAACCGACUAAUGUUGAAAAAUUAGCGGAUGACUUGUGGCUGGGGGUGAAAGGCCAAUCAAACCGGGAGAUAGCUGGUUCUCCCCGAAAGCUAUUUAGGUAGCGCCUCGUGAAUUCAUCUCCGGGGGUAGAGCACUGUUUCGGCAAGGGGGUCAUCCCGACUUACCAACCCGAUGCAAACUGCGAAUACCGGAGAAUGUUAUCACGGGAGACACACGGCGGGUGCUAACGUCCGUCGUGAAGAGGGAAACAACCCAGACCGCCAGCUAAGGUCCCAAAGUCAUGGUUAAGUGGGAAACGAUGUGGGAAGGCCCAGACAGCCAGGAUGUUGGCUUAGAAGCAGCCAUCAUUUAAAGAAAGCGUAAUAGCUCACUGGUCGAGUCGGCCUGCGCGGAAGAUGUAACGGGGCUAAACCAUGCACCGAAGCUGCGGCAGCGACACUAUGUGUUGUUGGGUAGGGGAGCGUUCUGUAAGCCUGUGAAGGUGUGCUGUGAGGUAUGCUGGAGGUAUCAGAAGUGCGAAUGCUGACAUAAGUAACGAUAAAGCGGGUGAAAAGCCCGCUCGCCGGAAGACCAAGGGUUCCUGUCCAACGUUAAUCGGGGCAGGGUGAGUCGACCCCUAAGGCGAGGCCGAAAGGCGUAGUCGAUGGGAAACAGGUUAAUAUUCCUGUACUUGGUGUUACUGCGAAGGGGGGACGGAGAAGGCUAUGUUGGCCGGGCGACGGUUGUCCCGGUUUAAGCGUGUAGGCUGGUUUUCCAGGCAAAUCCGGAAAAUCAAGGCUGAGGCGUGAUGACGAGGCACUACGGUGCUGAAGCAACAAAUGCCCUGCUUCCAGGAAAAGCCUCUAAGCAUCAGGUAACAUCAAAUCGUACCCCAAACCGACACAGGUGGUCAGGUAGAGAAUACCAAGGCGCUUGAGAGAACUCGGGUGAAGGAACUAGGCAAAAUGGUGCCGUAACUUCGGGAGAAGGCACGCUGAUAUGUAGGUGAAGUCCCUCGCGGAUGGAGCUGAAAUCAGUCGAAGAUACCAGCUGGCUGCAACUGUUUAUUAAAAACACAGCACUGUGCAAACACGAAAGUGGACGUAUACGGUGUGACGCCUGCCCGGUGCCGGAAGGUUAAUUGAUGGGGUUAGCGCAAGCGAAGCUCUUGAUCGAAGCCCCGGUAAACGGCGGCCGUAACUAUAACGGUCCUAAGGUAGCGAAAUUCCUUGUCGGGUAAGUUCCGACCUGCACGAAUGGCGUAAUGAUGGCCAGGCUGUCUCCACCCGAGACUCAGUGAAAUUGAACUCGCUGUGAAGAUGCAGUGUACCCGCGGCAAGACGGAAAGACCCCGUGAACCUUUACUAUAGCUUGACACUGAACAUUGAGCCUUGAUGUGUAGGAUAGGUGGGAGGCUUAGAAGUGUGGACGCCAGUCUGCAUGGAGCCGACCUUGAAAUACCACCCUUUAAUGUUUGAUGUUCUAACGUUGACCCGUGAUCCGGGUUGCGGACAGUGUCUGGUGGGUAGUUUGACUGGGGCGGUCUCCUCCUAAAGAGUAACGGAGGAGCACGAAGGUUGGCUAAUCCUGGUCGGACAUCAGGAGGUUAGUGCAAUGGCAUAAGCCAGCUUGACUGCGAGCGUGACGGCGCGAGCAGGUGCGAAAGCAGGUCAUAGUGAUCCGGUGGUUCUGAAUGGAAGGGCCAUCGCUCAACGGAUAAAAGGUACUCCGGGGAUAACAGGCUGAUACCGCCCAAGAGUUCAUAUCGACGGCGGUGUUUGGCACCUCGAUGUCGGCUCAUCACAUCCUGGGGCUGAAGUAGGUCCCAAGGGUAUGGCUGUUCGCCAUUUAAAGUGGUACGCGAGCUGGGUUUAGAACGUCGUGAGACAGUUCGGUCCCUAUCUGCCGUGGGCGCUGGAGAACUGAGGGGGGCUGCUCCUAGUACGAGAGGACCGGAGUGGACGCAUCACUGGUGUUCGGGUUGUCAUGCCAAUGGCACUGCCCGGUAGCUAAAUGCGGAAGAGAUAAGUGCUGAAAGCAUCUAAGCACGAAACUUGCCCCGAGAUGAGUUCUCCCUGACCCUUUAAGGGUCCUGAAGGAACGUUGAAGACGACGACGUUGAUAGGCCGGGUGUGUAAGCGCAGCGAUGCGUUGAGCUAACCGGUACUAAUGAACCGUGAGGCUUAACCUUACAACGCCGAAGCUGUU
rnacentral:rRNA from 1 species